rnacentral:rRNA from 1 species
AACUUACAAAAACGAAUCCCAGUUCGGACUGCAGGCUGAAACUCGCCUGCACGAAGUUGGAAUUGCUAGUAAUCGCGGAUCAGCGUGCCGCGGUGAAUACGUUCCCGGGUCUUGUACACACCGCCCGUCACACCAUGGGAGCUGGUAACACCCGAAGUCAGUAGUCCAACCGCAAGGAGGACGCUGCCGAAGGUGGGAUUAGCGACUGGGGUGAAGUCGUAACAAGGUAUC